AUACGGAGGGCGCAAGCGUUGUUCGGAAUUAUUGGGCGUAAAGCGCGUGUAGGCGGUCUGUUAAGUCUGGUGUGAAAGCCCUGGGCUCAACCCAGGAAGUGCAUUGGAUACUGGCAGACUUGAGUAUGGGAGAGGAAAGUGGAAUUCCGAGUGUAGGGGUGAAAUCCGUAGAUAUUCGGAGGAACACCAGUGGCGAAGGCGGCUUUCUGGACCAAUACUGACGCUGAGACGCGAAAGCGUGGGGAGCAAACAGGAUUAGAAACCCCGGUAGUCC
rnacentral:rRNA from 1 species